rnacentral:rRNA from 1 species
CCUACGGGGGGCUGCAGUCGAGAAUCUUCGUCAAUGGGCGAAAGCCUGAACGAGCGACGCCGCGUGUGGGAUGAAGGCCUUUGGGUUGUAAACCACUGUCGAGGGGGAUGAAGGCAUUCAGGUCCUCCUGAAUGUUUGACAGAGCCCUGGAGGAAGCACGGGCUAAGUUCGUGCCAGCAGCCGCGGUAAUACGAACUGUGCGAACGUUAUUCGGAAUCACUGGGCUUACAGGGUGCGUAGGCGGCUUAGCAAGUCAGGUGUGAAAGCCCCCGGCUCAACCGGGGAACUGCGCUUGAAACUGCUGAGCUCGAGUCAGCUAGAGGUACACGGAACUUCCAGUGGAGCGGUGAAAUGUGUUGAUAUUGGAAGGAACACCGGAGGCGAAAGCGGUGUACUGGGGCUGGUCUGACGCUGAGGCACGAAAGCCAGGGGAGCGAACGGGAUUAGAUACCCGGGUAGUCG